AAGUCUGCGGGGUGGCCGUUGGUAAAUCCGCGGCACCAACACCUCGGGGAUGAUGGCGUGCGUCCUCGUACGCGAAGUGACAUGAAGGACUUCCAAGAAAAUCUCCUAGCGGGCAUGACAGGUGACCGUACCGCAAUCCGACACUGGUAGGUGGGGUGAGUAACCCAAGGCGCUCGAGAGAACUCUCGCUAAGGAACUCGGCAAUUUAACUCCGUAACUUCGGGAUAAGGAGUGCCCUUAGGGGUGUAGUCGUACAGACGAAGCCCCAGGGGGCCGCAGUUAAAAGGCUCUGGGAACUGUUUAUCAAAAACACAGGACUGUGCUAAGGCGGAUAAGCCGACGUAUACAGUCUGACGCCUGCCCAAUGCCGGAAGGUCAAAGGGAGCGGUUAGCCGUAAGGCGAAGCUGCGAACUGAAGCCCCGGUGAAUGGCGGCCGUAACUAUGACGGUCCUAAGGUAGCGAAGUUCCUUGUCGGGUAAGUUCCGACCCGCAUGAGUGGCGUAAUCACUGGAGCACUGUCUCAGCGAGAGACUCGGCGAAAUUGCAGUCGUGGUGAAAAUACCACGUUCCCGCGCCAGGACGAAAAGACCCCGUGAACCUUUACUGUAGCCUAGUACUGGGUCUUGACUCGAUAUGUGUAGUAUAGGUGGGAGACUGUGAAGCGGAGGCGCCAGCCCCCGUGGAGUCAUCAGUGAAAUACCACCCUUAUCUUGUUAGGAUUCUAACCGAUGCCCGUGAAUCCGGGAUCGGGACAGUGCUUGGUGGGCAGUUUGGCUGGGGCGGUCUCCUCCCAAAGAGUAACGGAGGAGUCCAAAGGCACCCUCAACGCGGUUGGCAAUCGCGUGUAGAGCGCAAAGGUAUAAGGGUGCUUGACUGCGAGACCUAUAAGUCGAGCAGGUGUGAAAGCAGGGCUUAGCGAUCCGGCGGUCCAGUGUGGAAUGGCCGUCGCUCAUCAGACAAAAGGUACUCCGGGGAUAACAGGCUGAUCUCCCCCAAGAGUCCAUAUCGACGGGGAGGUUUGGCACCUCGAUGUCGGCUCAUCGCAUCCUGGGGCUGAAGAAGGUCCCAAGGGUUUGGCUGUUCGCCAAUGAAAGCGGUACGCGAGCUGGGUUCAGACCGUCGUGAGACAGAUCGGUCUCUAUCCGGCGUGGGUGCAGGAGAUUUGAGGAGUUUUGCCCUUAGUACGAGAGGAUUGGGGCGGACGAACCUCUGGUGUACCAGUUGUGCCGCUAGGUGCAGUGCUGGGUAGCUAAGUUCGGAAAGGAUAAACGCUGAAAGCAUCUAAGCGUGAAGCCCUCUCCAAAACAGGAUCUCCCUAUGAGGCUCGUGGAAGACUACCACGUUGAUAGGCCGGAGGUGUAAGUGCAGCAAUGCAUUCAGCUCACCGGUACUAA
rnacentral:rRNA from 1 species